GUCGGCCGGAGGAGAAUCUGACGGUGAGAGUGGGGGUGGGGAGAAAGAAAAGUAUGAUGGACCUGCCGUAAUAAUGAAUAAUUAAUAAUUAACGGUGUUUGUGUGUCACCGACCCGUGUGUGGAGCGUGUGCGUCGGCCGGGUCGGGGUUGAUGACUUCGUCGGUGCGGACGUACGGGAUGAAGUCGAGGACGGGCGACUGAGCGUGCGGCGUGGCGGGAGAGGAUCGCCCCCUGGUGGUGGACAAGAUGCUUUGGUGGGGACCUCAGGCUUCUCCAGCUCGCUGAACAGACCUCCAUUGGACCUGAUAAACGACGCCAUUAUUAUAAGCGUGACUAUACUAGCGUUUGGUAGCAGGAUUACGCAAAAACAGGAAACAACUGCCUCUUACAAGUGUUCUUUACCGUCACGACCGAGGACCUUGUGCGCUUCUACAGUGUGUUGGUCGUGGCUGGAGGUUUGGACGCCGUUCAGUCGCGCAUGCUUGUUGUUCAGACACGCCACGCCGUCUCUCGGUCUUUCGUCGUCAGCAGCCUGCGGGUGCUUCGGUCCUGCCUUAACGCCGCCUUGCGUCCUCCCGGUGGUACCGCUGGCAGUCAGGGGUCCUGUGGAGGAGCUGCAUUUGUGCCUGUCUGACUUCACCUUACACACACACACAGAAGGUUAGGUAUUGGAUGCAGCCCAGCAGUCUUUUAAUAUGAAAACACUUCAACUAAAUCGUCAACUUCAACAGAGAAGAGAAAAGGACAAGGGAGAGUUGACAGAAAUAUCCUCCAGAUCAGUGGUUCUAAACCUUUUUUCAGUGAUGUACCCCCUGUGAACAUUUUUUUAAAUUCAAGUACCUCCUAAUCAGAGCAAAGCAUUUUUGGUUAAAAAAAAAAAAUAGAUAAAGAAGUAAAAUACAGCACUAUGUCAUCAGUUUCUGAUUUAUUAAAUUGUAUAACAGUGCAAAAUAUUGCUCACUUGUAGUGGUCUUUCUUGAACUAUUUGGAAAAAAAGAUGAAAAAUAAACCAGUGAUUUAAUUAUAAAUAAAGAUUUCUGGGUAACACAAGGCAUAUUGACAGAGCUUAAACCAUUGUUACUAUAACAAUCUACAAGAUUAAUAUAGGUUGCCUCUCUCUCUUCCCUUUCAUCUUUCGGUAUUCCUUCUUCUUUUUUUAUUUUUUUUUAUUUUUUAUUUAUUUAUUUUUUUAUUAUCUUUCUAGCUAUCAUUAUGUAUACGUAUCGUUGCAUUUGAACAACUUUAUUGUUGAUAAUAGAGGUAAUCUAUUGGUUUUGUUCAUGAUCAGUAGCGCUUUUUCUCUUGGUAUUUGUAUUGCUCCAGUUUUAGUUUAAAAAUGCUCAGUCAUUACUAUAUUAUUUAUUUCACUAACUGCUUAUUUGCUA